rnacentral:rRNA from 1 species
GAUGAACGCUGGCGGCGUGCCUAAUACAUGCAAGUCGAGCGAACAGACGAGGAGCUUGCUCCUCUGACGUUAGCGGCGGACGGGUGAGUAACACGUGGAUAACCUACCUAUAAGACUGGGAUAACUUCGGGAAACCGGAGCUAAUACCGGAUAAUAUAUUGAACCGCAUGGUUCAAUAGUGAAAGACGGUUUUGCUGUCACUUAUAGAUGGAUCCGCGCCGCAUUAGCUAGUUGGUAAGGUAACGGCUUACCAAGGCAACGAUGCGUAGCCGACCUGAGAGGGUGAUAGGCCACACUGGAACUGAGACACGGUCCAGACUCCUACGGGAGGCAGCAGUAGGGAAUCUUCCGCAAUGGGCGAAAGCUUGACGGAGCAACGCCGCGUGAGUGAUGAAGGUCUUCGGAUCGUAAAACUCUGUUAUUAGGGAAGAACAAAUGUGUAAGUAACUAGGCACGUCUUGACGGUACCUAAUCAGAAAGCCACGGCUAACUACGUGC